UUUAUUCAUAUUUUUAUGGUUUUAGAGAGAGACUAGGGCUUUUCUAGAGAGAGAAACACAAAUCAAGGUAGUUAGGAGUAGAUUCAAGUCAGGAUUUGUUGAGACAUCAUGGAUCUUGUCAUGGAAUCUUCACCCUUUCUUCAUCCUUUGCAAAGCUAUCAUAGACAUAUGUAGCUACAUCUACUCUUGUAGUUUUGAGGUAUUCAAACAAGCUAUUAUGUAAUCUUUUGAUCUUUUAAUAUAUG
rnacentral:lncRNA from 1 species